rnacentral:rRNA from 1 species
CUACGGGGUGCAGCAGUAAGGAAUAUUGGUCAAUGGACGCAAGUCUGAACCAGCCAUGCCGCGUGAAGGAUUAAGGUCCUCUGGAUUGUAAACUUCUUUUAUUUGGGACGAAAAAGGGUCUUUCUAGACCAACUGACGGUACCAGAUGAAUAAGCACCGGCUAACUCCGUGCCAGCAGCCGCGGUAAUACGGAGGGUGCAAGCGUUAUCCGGAUUCACUGGGUUUAAAGGGUGCGUAGGCGGGUAGGUAAGUCAGUGGUGAAAUCCUAGGGCUUAACUCUAGAACUGCCAUUGAUACUAUCUAUCUUGAAUAUUGUGGAGGUAAGCGGAAUAUGUCAUGUAGCGGUGAAAUGCUUAGAUAUGACAUAGAACACCUAUUGCGAAGGCAGCUUACUACGCAUAUAUUGACGCUGAGGCACGAAAGCGUGGGGAUCAAACAGGAUUAGAUACCCGCGUAGUC